AAAAAAAAAACAAAGGAAAGAAAACCAAAGAAAAAGAAACCAAGUGGAAAAAGGUGAAACAUACUGGAGUGAACAAAAAAUAUAAGGAGAAAACAUGGGAAAGGAUCACAGAGAGGGAAAAGUAAUCAAAAGAAAGGAGUCGACGAUAUGAGAUUUUCGUUCGAGUUUUCGGACGUCGUUUGUGCUUCUUUUAAUUAGUUCAAUCUUAGAGGUUCUUAUUAAAUUCAUACUAUUUAUUUUUAUAAUAUUAGUUAUGAAUGAAAUCAUGAAUGAAGUUAUUAGAAUGACUUUUUAUAUUAUUUUGUGUACCUAAUUUAUUACUAUUAUUGUAGUUGGUGCUCAUGUCUUUGUUUAUGAUUUGUUUGUCAGUUUGAAAUAAUGUUGAUU
rnacentral:lncRNA from 1 species